rnacentral:rRNA from 1 species
AUUGAACGCUGGCGGCAUGCCUUACACAUGCAAGUCGAACGGUAACAGGUCUUCGGAUGCUGACGAGUGGCGAACGGGUGAGUAAUGCAUCGGAACGUGCCCAGUUGUGGGGGAUAACUGCUCGAAAGAGCAGCUAAUACCGCAUACGACCUGAGGGUGAAAGCGGGGGAUCGCAAGACCGCGCGCAAUUGGAGCGGCCGAUGUCAGAUUAGGUAGUUGGUGGGGUAAAGGCCUACCAAGCCGACGAUCUGUAGUUGGUCUGAGAGGACGACCAGCCACACUGGGACUGAGACACGGCCCAGACUCCUACGGGAGGCAGAAGUGGGGAAUUUUGGACAAUGGGCGCAAGCCUGAUCCAGCAAUGCCGCGUGCAGGAAGAAGGCCUUCGGGUUGUAAACUGCUUUUGUCAGGGAAGAAAUCCUCUGGGUUAAUACCCCGGGGGGAUGACGGUACCUGAAGAAUAAGCACCGGCUAACUACGUGCCAGCCGCCGCCGUAAUAC